rnacentral:rRNA from 1 species
GGCAGGCCUAACACAUGCAAGUCGAGCGGAUGAGGGAAGCUUGCUUCCUGAUUUAGCGGCGGACGGGUGAGUAAUGCCUAGGAAUCUGCCUGUUAGUGGGGGAUAACGUUCCGAAAGGAACGCUAAUACCGCAUACGUCCUACGGGAGAAAGUGGGGGAUCUUCGGACCUCACGCUAACAGAUGAGCCUAGGUCGGAUUAGCUAGUAGGUGAGGUAAUGGCUCACCUAGGCUACGAUCCGUAACUGGUCUGAGAGGAUGAUCAGUCACACUGGAACUGAGACACGGUCCAGACUCCUACGGGAGGCAGCAGUGGGGAAUAUUGGACAAUGGGCGAAAGCCUGAUCCAGCCAUGCCGCGUGUGUGAAGAAGGUCUUCGGAUUGUAAAGCACUUUAAGUUGGGAGGAAGGUCUGUAAGUUAAUACCUUGCAGUCUUGACGUUACCAACAGAAUAAGCACCGGCUAACUCUGUGCCAGCAGCCGCGGUAAUACAGAGGGUGCAAGCGUUAAUCGGAAUUACUGGGCGUAAAGCGCGCGUAGGUGGUUUGGUAAGUUGAAUGUGAAAGCCCCGGGCUCAACCUGGGAACUGCAUCCAAAACUGCCUGACUAGAGUACGGUAGAGGGUGGUGGAA